CGAUCCCUUUCGGGAUAGUGGCGAACGGGUGAGUAACACGUGGGUAAUUUACCCUAGGGUUCGGGAUAACAUACCGAAAGGUAUGCUAAUACCGGAUGCGUCCGUGGCAACUGAGGUUGUCGCGGGGAAAGGUGGCCUCUAUUUAUAAGCUAUCGCCCCUGGAUGAGCCCGCGGCCCAUUAGCUAGUUGGUAGGGUAAUGGCCUACCAAGGCAACGAUGGGUAGCCGGUUUGAGAGAAUGGUCGGUCACACUGGGACUGAGACACUGCCCAGACUCCUACGGGAGGCUGCAGUCGAGAGUCUUUCGCAAUGGGGGAAACCCUGACGAAGCGACGCUGCGUGGAGGAUGAAGGCCCUCGGGUCGUAAACUCCUGUCAAUUGGGAAGAAAAAUGUGCCAACUAAUACCUGACACAUUUGACGGUACCGAUGGAGGAAGCCACGGCUAACUCCGUGCCAGCAGCCGCGGUAAUACGGAGGUGGCGAGCGUUGUUCGGAAUUAUUGGGCGUAAAGCGCGUGUAGGCGGCCGUGAAAGUUCAGUGUGAAAUCUUCUGGCUCAACCAGGAAAUUGCACCGAAAACUCCACGGCUAGUGUACGAGAGAGGAAGGCGGAAUUCCCGGUGUAAGAGUGAAAUCUGUAGAUAUCGGGA
rnacentral:rRNA from 1 species